rnacentral:rRNA from 1 species
UACGGAGGGAGCUAGCGUUGUUCGGAAUUACUGGGCGUAAAGCGCACGUAGGCGGCUUUGUAAGUUAGAGGUGAAAGCCCGGGGCUCAACUCCGGAACUGCCUUUAAAACUGCAUCGCUUGAAUCCAGGAGAGGUGAGUGGAAUUCCGAGUGUAGAGGUGAAAUUCGUAGAUAUUCGGAAGAACACCAGUGGCGAAGGCGGCUCACUGGACUGGUAUUGACGCUGAGGUGCGAAAGCGUGGGGAGCAAACAGGG